rnacentral:rRNA from 1 species
GACGAACGCUGGCGGCGUGCUUAACACAUGCAAGUCGAACGGAAAGGCCCUGCUUUUGUGGGGUGCUCGAGUGGCGAACGGGUGAGUAACACGUGAGUAACCUGCCCUUGACUUUGGGAUAACUUCAGGAAACUGGGGCUAAUACCGGAUAGGAGCUCCUGCUGCAUGGUGGGGGUUGGAAAGUUUCGGCGGUUGGGGAUGGACUCGCGGCUUAUCAGCUUGUUGGUGGGGUAGUGGCUACCAAGGCUUUGACGGGUAGCCGGCCUGAGCGGGUGACCGGCCACAUGGGGACUGAGAGACGGCCCAGACGGCUACGGGAGGCAGCAGUGGGGAAUAUGGCACAAUGGGCGGAAGCCUGAUGCAGAAACGCCGCGUGCGGGAUGACGGCCUGCGGGUUGUAAACCGCUUUCGCCUGUGACGAAGCGUGAGUGACGGUAAUGGGUAAAGAAGCACCGGCUAACUACGUG